rnacentral:rRNA from 1 species
GAUGAACGCUGGCGGCGUGGAUAAGGCAUGCAAGUCGAACGCCCCGCAAGGGGAGUGGCAGACGGGUGAGUAACGCGUGGGAACAUACCCUUUCCUGCGGAAUAGCUCUGGGAAACUGGAAUUAAUACCGCGUACGCCCUACGGGGGAAAGAUUUAUCGGGGAAGGAUUGGCCCGCGUUGGAUUAGCUAGUUGGUGGGGUAAAGGCCUACCAAGGCGACGAUCCAUAGCUGGUCUGAGAGGAUGAUCAGCCACAUUGGGACUGAGACACGGCCCAAACUCCUACGGGAGGCAGCAGUGGGGAAUAUUGGACAAUGGGCGCAAGCCUGAUCCAGCCAUGCCGCGUGAGUGAAGAAGGCCUUAGGGUUGUAAAGCUCUUUCGGCGGGGACGAUAAUGACGGUACCCGCAGAAGAAGCCCCGGCUAACUCCGUGCCAGCCGCCGCCGUAA